GUUUGUCUGCCCAAGUCACCGAGGGGCGUGAGGGGGCCCUGCUGUCCUGGAGAUGUGAAACACCUGCCUGCUCAUGGGAAACGUUUUUUCUCCUCAGAACUAGUCUGGGCAACACUGAGAGAGGAGUAGAAAAAUCAGAGCUAAUCCUGCAGGAAUGAGUCAUUCUGGCAUAGGAUUUGCAGAGCAAGAUGAGAAGUUCAGGCACAGAGCAAUCUGGUCAGGAUCACUUGGGAUGGCACAGUGGAAGAGGGACACCAGAUACCAAGUUUUUCAUUGAGUCUCU